GUCGCCGAGCACAGGUUUCCGCUGGGUGGGGCCAGUUUGCCUAGGAAGAGUGCUUUGAACCGCCUGUCUCCGAGCCUCCGAGGAUUUUCCGGCUCUUAUUUCCCAUGAGCCUCUGGGCCCAAAUUAACCUCCUUCUCUAGGUCCCUUUCCGGUGUCUUCAAGGUGCUUGGACUCUGGGCGGCCCCCGCUGAAGGCUCUGGAGAAUAAGCCAUGGGCUGAACUGAUAAACAAGCUAUGAGGAAUAUCAUGUAUCCAGUAUGGAUGGCUGGAUAGCCAAUGACAGAUGAGAAAAGUGCACAUCCAAACCAACUCAAAAACAUAAACGGAAAAGUUGAUACCUGACUGUUCUCCAGCUGCCUGCCCCCUUAAAACUAUACACAUCUUUACCACUGUUGUUUAAUCCUUCUGUGCAUGGCCAUGAUUGGUUUUGUUUUCAAGUAAUCAGAUGUUAUACUACCUUCAUCAGGAUACUUUCAGUAUUAUCCAUCCACCCUACAGAUCUCAAUGUUUUGUCUCCAAGGUCUUUCCCCAAUUGUCCCUUUUAUUCCUUUAUAGCCAAGGCCAAUUGUUUUUGAAUUUUACAGAAAUGUGUAUCAAUAAUUUAUCAGGAAUUCUAUCAAUUGAUUACAAAAGUCUAAGCAAAUGAACUUGGGGAUGUUGAGGGAAAAACAGAGUAACUGAAUGGGAGAAACUUGAGUGGCUAGGACUCUACAACAAGGGAUAUGCUGAAUGUAGGCUGAAGACUGGUAAUCCAGAUGGUGGAGCAGCCUGAGGAAAUCUGAUGUGCUUAGUGGAUCAAGUAUGAAUUGAAGACAAGUGGAAUUCUUCUUUGAAUAAAGAAGGAGAGACAUCUACUUACCUGGGACAUGGUUUUUGAACUGCCGUCCUCCUCAGAAACUCAGUCCAGAGAAGCCAGAGCUGAGGGAGGAAAAAGAAGCCUUGAGACGCAACAUAUCUCAGAACUCCAAAAAUUGUUUAAGGUAUUCAGCUGUCAGAUUUUAAAAGUUGAUGACGCACUACAUAUUAGUAAGGUCGUAGGGAGAAGCACAUCCUCAUUGCUGUCCUGUAGACCUGUGAAAACCUAGUGCAACUGAGACACCAUCGCAUCCCUAUACAAGUUCUGAGAGGGUAUGGUCAUCAGUACUGCACCCAGCAGAGGCUGUUGCCACAUUCCCAAAUGUCACUACCCUGAAAUUACAAGGACCUAAGUUCCCAUAUGGCCCUGAGAAACUGGAAGAAGUAAAGUUGAUCAAGGUAUGGAAGUGGAACAGCAUGGAGAGCAGGUGUGUUUAGCAAUCUGAAUUCAGCAGCAGCUGAUUGGCUAAAUGUGUAACAGAACAUCCAUGUAAUGAAAUAUUAAGCAGUCAUUAAAUGGUAAGUCUGAGAACCUGUUAAGGGAAUGAAAAUAUUCAAAAAUAUCAUGUCAGUUGAAAAAACCAGGUUACAAAAACAAAAAACUCAAUUAAAAAGUGGACAAAAAUGUGAAUAGACAUUUCUCCAAAGAAGAUACACAGAUGGCCAAUAAGCACAUGAAAAGGUGCUCAACCUCACUAAUCAUCAGAAAAAAUGCAAAUCAUAAACCACAAGACCCACUUCAUACUCACUAGGAUAACAACAGGCACUGGUGAAAAUGUGGAGAAACUGGAACCCUCACACACGGCUGGUAGGAAUGUAAAAAGGUAUAGACAUUUUGGAAAAGAAUCUGACAGGUCCUUAAAAGAGUUACCAUAUGACACAGCAAUUCCACUCCUAAGUAUAUACUUAAGAAAAAUAAAAAUAUAUGUCUACACAAAAACUUGUACACCAAUGUUCACGGCAGCGUUAUUCACCACAGCUAAGUAGAAAAAACUCAGACGUCCACCAGCUGAUGAAUGGAUAAGUAAAAUGUGGUAUAUCUGUACAAUGGAAUAUUAUUCAGCCUUAAAAAGGAAGGAAAUUCUGAAGCAUACUACAACAUGGAUGAAUCGAUGUGAAUCAUAUUGGAAACACCAUGCUAAGUAAAAGAAGCCAGUCACAUUCAGGAAUUCACAAUAAAAAUAUAUAUUUAUUCAAAUUAUACAUUGAAGGGCUGGGCUAUUAGCUAGAGACAUUUAUAUGUGAAGCAGCUCUUUAAAGAAGUAAAAUGCACAAAUAGGUCUGUAAUACACAUAUUUGGUAUAAUAUACAUAAUUGAAAUUAAUAAAACCUGGAAGACCAACUAUUAUUAUGCUACGUUCUGUUAGGAUCUUUUAAAAAGCACACAUUUAGUAGUCCAUUUGUGCUUAAAAUAUUCCUAUGCGUGAGAAGCUUAAAGAAAAAAAAAAACAGCUCUGUACAUGAUGAUGAAAAGAAAGUAAUAAAUUUUUUUGAAAUUGCACUGUUGAAAAAAAAAAGCCAGUCACAAAAGACCACAGAUUGUGUAAUUCUAGUUCUACAAAAUGUCCAAAAGGGGAAAAUUAAUAGAGACAGAAAGAAGAUAAGUGGUUGUGGGAUACAUACAGUGACUGCUAAUGGGUUAGGGUUUCCUUUUAGGGUGAUGAAAAUGUUCUAAAGUUGACUGUGGUGAUGGAUGCACAAAAAUUGUGCACUUCAAAUGGGUGAAUGGUGUGGUGUGUGAAUUUCAUCUCAAUAAAGCUGUUGAAAUAUCAGGUUAUGAAUGCACAAAAUUAUACACAUACAAAAUAUUAUUAUGAAAUAUAUGUACUUAUCAAUAUAGAGAGAAGAGUGACAGACAUCAAUAAACAGA